rnacentral:rRNA from 1 species
GACGAACGCUGGCGGCGUGCUUAACACAUGCAAGUCGAACGGAAUGGCCUGCUUUCCCUUGUGGAUUGCGGGUACUCGAGUGGCGAACGGGUGAGUAACACGUGAGUGAUCUGCCCCCAACUGGGGUAUAAGCCUGGGAAACUGGGUCUAAUUCCCGAUAGGACUGCAGGGUGGUGCCUGUGGUGGAAAACGAUUUUCUAGUGGUUGGGGAUGAGCUCGCGGCCUAUCAGCUGGUUGGUGGGGUAAGGGCCUACCAAGGCGGCGACGGGUAGCCGGCCUGGGAGGGUGGACGGCCACAUUGGGACUGAGAUACGGCCCAGACUCCUACGGGAGGCAGCAGUGGGGAAUAUUGCACAAUGGGCGGAAGCCUGAUGCAGCGACGCCGCGUGGGGGAUGACGGCCUUCGGGUUGUAAACUCCUUUCGACCGCGAGGAAGCCACCUGGUUGGAAGGGUGGUGACGGUAGUGGUAGAAGAAGCACCGGCUAACUACGUG